CCUGCGUGCUGGCGGAUGGGCCGAUGGUGAGCUGCCGCUCGUGAUCGAGUCGUUCGAGUCGACCGUGCUGGG
rnacentral:tRNA from 1 species